GACGAACGCUGGCGGCGUGCUUAACACAUGCAAGUCGAGCGGUAAGGCCCUUUCGGGGGUACACGAGCGGCGAACGGGUGAGUAACACGUGGGUGACCUGCCCUCAGCUCUGGGAUAAGCCUGGGAAACCGGGUCUAAUACUGGAUAUGACUCCAUGACGCAUGUUGUGGGGUGGAAAGCCUUGUGCGGCUGAGGAUGGGCCCGCGGCCUAUCAGCUUGUUGGUGGGGUGANGGCCUACCAAGGCGACGACGGGUAGCCGGCCUGAGAGGGCGACCGGCCACACUGGGACUGAGACACGGCCCAGACUCCUACGGGAGGCAGCAGUGGGGAAUCUUGCGCAGUGGGCGAAAGCCUGACGCAGCGACGCCGCGUGAGGGAUGACGGCCUCGGUUGUAA
rnacentral:rRNA from 1 species